GCGCUCGCUGUGCCCCUACUUAUUGCUGGCUUCCCCUCAACCCCUACUUACCUUUCCGGAGAACCUUCUUCCGUGUGUGCCUGUGAAGUCGAGGGUUCUGUGUUUGCUCCAGGCCUUGACUCGCGUGCACUUGUUGCUCAGGCUAUUGUUGCUCAGGCUUUUGUUGUACUGAUUCUUCUCCUGUGUUGAGGAGUUGUCGUGGUCCUGGUUGUUCAUAACGUUUUUAGUCUAGGUAGCUGGGUAACUAUGUUGGGGUAUCAUUAUUCUCCUGGAAGCGACUUGUAUUGAAUGGGAAAUGAUGACAAGUAUUCGCCAUUCCCGAAUGUAUCCUCUGUGAUACAUCAUGUGGGUUUGCGAAACAUGAGUUGCACGUCAGUCUGAUCCUUCUUUGUCGCGCUGUGAUGUAGUUCAUCACUGAAUAGUGAUAGCCCGAUGGAAGCUACUAAAUUUCUUUCCUGCUGAACGCAUGCCGUGAGGGGUUAUUUUGUCUCACAGGUAUCGCAUUGUCGAAUGUGAUGAGGAAGAAUUGUCGCCCCAGUCCUAUGCGAGCUUUAAAGCUCCCUGAGGAUUGACUCUUUAUUUCUCUGAUUCGAAGUGAUGAUCCUUAGCGAAUGUUUCGAGAACCAGUGAUGCAAUAAAAUCCGAAAACAUCUGAUUUCCGUGAUGUCCAAACAAUCACCAUCUUUCGACUGAGGUUCUCCGUAAACGUGGCUUACAGCCGCAACAGAGCUGGUAGUUGGCACGAGCAUCGGUCAACUCAGAUCUUUCUGUAUAGAUGUACAUUACUUUUCAGAACCAUUGAGAUAUACGCCAACCAUUAAUUCAGGGAGAUGUAGAUUUCUGAGGAGGAACCCUAUCCGAUCAUUAAAGCUCCAUGAGGAUUGAUUCUCUACUUCUUUGAUUCGAAGCGUUGAUAUUUUGACGACUAUUUUGAGAAUCACUGUUGCAGUAAAAAUCCGAAACAUCUGAUUUCCGUGAGGUUCAAACAAUCACCAUCAUUCAACUGUAGUUAUCCGCAAACUUGACUAAAACAUGCGGAUAAACGUUUCUAGUUGCCAUGAACAGCGAUCUGUCCUGAGUCCAUCGGCAACAUUAACAUUCCUGAACAGAUCUUAUUAGCUUUCAAGAAUCGUAGAGAUGAAUACCCCAUUGCCAUGAGCUUGCAUGGAGGAUGUUAUAAGACAUUCAUUUCGACACAUGCAUAUGAUUAUAAACAGAUGUGCAUCCGGGUUACCGCUCUCAACACCUCUCCGCACGUUUUCAAGUAUCACUAAAACAGCCAUUAAUAGGCAUGACAAAAGUCAGAUAUGGCAAUUCAGCUGUUCUCGGAAUGGAAGUGAUGACAGAUAUUCGCCCCUCCCGAACGUAUCCUCCGUGAUACAUCAUGUGGGUUAGCGAAUCAUGAUUUGCACUGCCAGUACUUGGGAGGCCGUUUUGAGAACCAGUGAUGCAAUGAAAAUCCGAAAACACCUGAUUACUGUGAUGUUCAAACAAUCACCAUCUUUCGACAGAGGUUCUCCGGAAAAAUUGCUGUUUUUCGGUAUCUGAGGGUGGUAGAUGACGCGAAUUGCGAUCUCUUCUGUGUAAGUUAGCUACCGUAACACAUUUGCUCAGAUCUAGAUCUAAUUUCUGAAGUGAUGGGGUAAACCUUGUUGUAAUCUCCUCUGUGUAAAGGAUUUUAUGUUCAAAAUCUAGUGGGAGUGCAAUGCAAUAUUAAUGAAAUACACCUGUCUGAAUA